rnacentral:rRNA from 1 species
CCUACGGGAGGCAGCAGUGGGGAAUAUUGCACAAUGGGGGAAACCCUGAUGCAGCGACGCCGCGUGAGUGAAGAAGUAAUUCGUUACGUAAAGCUCUAUCAGCAGGGAAGAAACACUGACCUUACGGUCAGCAGACGGUACCUGAGUAAGAAGCCCAGGCUAACUACGUGCCAGCAGCCGCGGUAAUACGUAGGGGGCAAGCGUUAUCCGGAUUUACUGGGUGUAAAGGGGGCGUAGACGGUGAGACAAGUCUGAAGUGAAAGCCCGGGGCUCAACCCCGGGACUGCUUUGGAAACUGCCUGACUGGAGUGAUGGAGAGGCAAGCGGAAUUCCUAGUGUAGCGGUGAAAUGCGUAGAUAUUAGGAAGAACACCAGUGGCGAAGGCGGCUUGCUGGACAGUAACUGACGUUGAGGCUCGAAAGCGUGGGGAGCAAACAGGAUUAGAUACCCGAGUAGUC